CUGUGGAGGAUGAUACGGGAAAUAUGACAUCACUUUUGUUGUAAUUGGUAUUUUCUUUGUCUUGUGAUGCUAGCUUUUUAAUUGCACGCCACGUCACGGUAUUUUGCUUGGUUGAGGUUGAGAACAGUAGUUCUAGCAAAUAUCUGUCAUCACCCAUGCUUGUUGAGAACAGUGAAGCACAUUAUAGUGCACUUGGCAGUGAUUAUGAAGCACGAGAAGAUUGUCAUUGAAGCAAGAUGAAUG
rnacentral:lncRNA from 1 species